UACAGAGGUCUCAAGCGUUGUUCGGAUUCAUUGGGCGUAAAGGGUGCGUAGGCGGCGCGGUAAGUCGGGUGUGAAAUCUUGGAGCUUAACUCCGAAAUUGCAUUCGAUACUGCCGUGCUUGAGGACUGGAGAGGAGACUGGAAUUCAUGGUGUAGCAGUGAAAUGCGUAGAGAUCAUGAGGAAGACCAGUGGCGAAGGCGGGUCUCUGGACAGUUCCUGACACUGAGGCACGAAGGCCAGGGGAGCAAACGGG
rnacentral:rRNA from 1 species